rnacentral:rRNA from 1 species
GUGAGGAAUAUUGGACAAUGGGCGCAAGCCUGAUCCAGCCAUGCCGCGUGCAGGAAGACGCACCUAUGGUGUGUAAACUGCUUUUGUACGGGAAGAAACACUCCCUCGUGAGGGAGCUUGACGGUACCGUAAGAAUAAGGAUCGGCUAACUCCGUGCCAGCAGCCGCGGUAAUACGGAGGAUCCAAGCGUUAUCCGGAAUCAUUGGGUUUAAAGGGUCCGUAGGCGGUUUAAUAAGUCAGUGGUGAAAGCCCAUCGCUCAACGAUGGAACGGCCAUUGAUACUGUUAGACUUGAAUUACAAGGAAGUAACUAGAAUAUGUAGUGUAGCGGUGAAAUGCUUAGAUAUUACAUGGAAUACCAAUUGCGAAGGCAGGUUACUACUUGUGGAUUGACGCUGAUGGACGAAAGCGUGGGGAGCGAACAGGAUUAGAAACCCGGGUAGUCC